rnacentral:rRNA from 1 species
UACGGAAGGCAGCAGUGGGGAAUAUUGCACAAUGGGCGAAAGCCUGAUGCAGCUAUGCCGCGUGUAUGAAGAAGGCCUUAGGGUUGUAAAGUACUUUCAUCGGGGAGGAAAAAACAAAACUAAUAAUUUUAUUUCUUGACGUUACCCGAAAAAGAAGCACCGGCUAACUCCGUGCCAGCAGCCGCGGUAAUACGGAGGGUGCUAGCGUUAAUCAGAAUUACUGGGCGUAAAGAGCACGUAGGUGGUUUUUUAAGUCAGAUGUGAAAUCCCUGGGCUUAACCUAGGAACUGCAUUUUGAAACUGAAAUACUAGAGUAUCGUAGAGGGAGGUAGAAUUCUAGGUGUAGCGGUGAAAUGCGUAGAUAUCUGGAGGAAUACCUGUGGCGAAAGCGGCCUCCUAAACGAAUACUGACACUGAGGUGCGAAAGCGUGGGGAGCAAACGAGGGA